rnacentral:rRNA from 1 species
AGUGGGGAAUAUUGCACAAUGGACGAAAGUCUGAUGCAGCAACGCCGCGUGGAGGAUGACACAUUUCGGUGCGUAAACUCCUUUUAUAUGAGAAGAUAAUGACGGUAUCAUAUGAAUAAGCACCGGCUAACUCCGUGCCAGCAGCCGCGGUAAUACGGGGGGUGCAAGCGUUACUCGGAAUCACUGGGCGUAAAGAGAAUGUAGGCGGGUAAUUAAGUUGGAAGUGAAAUCCUAUGGCUCAACCAUAGAACUGCUUCCAAAACUGAUUAUCUAGAAUAUGGGAGAGGUAGAUGGAAUUUCUGGUGUAGGGGUAAAAUCCGUAGAGAUCAGAAGGAAUACCGAUUGCGAAGGCGAUCUACUGGAACAUUAUUGACGCUGAGAUUCGAAAGCGUGGGGAGCAAACAGGAUUAGAUACCCUGGUAGUCCACGCCCUAAACGAUGCACACUAGUUGUUGCUAUACUAGAUAUAGCAGUAAUGCAGUUAACACAUUAAGUGUGCCGCCUGGGGAGUACGGUCGCAAGAUUAAAACUCAAAGGAAUAGACGGGGACCCGCACAAGCGGUGGAGCAUGUGGUUUAAUUCGACGAUACGCGAAGAACCUUACCUGGCCUUGACAUAGACAGAAUUUAGUAGAGAUAUAAAAGUGCCAGUUUACUGGAGCUGUUAUACAGGUGCUGCACGGCUGUCGUCAGCUCGUGUCGUGAGAUGUUGGGUUAAGUCCCGCAACGAGCGCAACCCACGUCAUUAGUUACUAACGGUUCGGCCGAGGACUCUAAUGAGACUGCCUGGGUAACCAGGAGGAAGGUGUGGACGACGUCAAGUCAUCAUGGCCCUUACGGCCAGGGCUACACACGUGCUACAAUGGGGUAUACAGAGAGCAGCGAUACCGCGAGGUGGAGCAAAUCUUUAAAAUAUCUCCCAGUUCGGAUAGCACUCUGCAACUCGAGUGCUUGAAGUUGGAAUCGCUAGUAAUCGUAGAUCAGCAAUGCUACGGUGAAUACGU